GGUUGUGCUGUGAUGACAGAUAUUUUGGACUAGAGUUUCUGAUCUUGUAAUUGAAGACAAACCCUUGGCUGUCUGAGUACAUUU
rnacentral:snoRNA from 1 species